UCCAGGAGGUUCUGGGCCAAAG
rnacentral:snRNA from 1 species